rfam:Vittaforma corneae ATCC 50505 unplaced genomic scaffold supercont1.2, whole genome shotgun sequence.
GAUGGCGUAGCAAAGUGGUUAACGCGGGUGAUUGCUAAUCAUCUCCCGUCUCGGGGCGUGGGUUCGAAUCCCACCGUCAUCG